AACAGGAUUAGAUACCCUGGUAGUCCACGCCGUAAACGUUGGGCGCUAGGUGUGGGGCUCAUUCCACGAGUUCCGUGCCGCAGCAAACGCAUUAAGCGCCCCGCCUGGGGAGUACGGCCGCAAGGCUAAAACUCAAAGGAAUUGACGGGGCCCCGCACAAGCGGCGGAGCAUGCGGAUUAAUUCGAUGCAACGCGAAGAACCUUACCAAGGCUUGACAUGCAGGGUAAUCCGGCAGAGAUGUCGGGUCCGCAAGGGAUCUUGCACAGGUGGUGCAUGGUUGUCGUCAGCUCGUGUCGUGAGAUGUUGGGUUAAGUCCCGCAACGAGCGCAACCCUCGUCCUAUGUUGCCAGCGCGUGAUGGCGGGGACUCAUAGGAGACUGCCGGGGUCAACUCGGAGGAAGGUGGGGAUGACGUCAAAUCAUCAUGCCCCUUAUGUCUUGGGCUUCACGCAUGCUACAAUGGCCAGUACAAAGGGCUGCGAGACCGUGAGGUGGAGCGAAUCCCAAAAAGCUGGUCUCAGUUCGGAUCGGGGUCUGCAACUCGACCCCGUGAAGUCGGAGUCGCUAGUAAUCGCAGAUCAGCAACGCUGCGGUGAAUACGCUCCCGGGGCUUGUACACACCGCCCGUCACGUCACGAAAGUUGGUAACACCCGAAGCCGGUGGCCUAACCCUUGUGGGGGGAGCCGUCGAAGGUGGGACUGGCGAUUGGGACGAAGUCGUAACAAGGUAACC
rnacentral:rRNA from 1 species